AGCUACAGUCUCAUGGGCCCCUGUUUGCAUAACAGGAAUUUAAUUCCAAAGGAAAAUUUGUGCAAUACAAAUUCAUAUCAAUGGAUGAUGUUUCCUGUCCUCCAACUUUCUACAGAAUUUUGAAACUUAAACGUUUUAGAUGGGGUCUACACUAAAACAACAUCAAAACCAUUUCAAAAAUUUAUAUCAUGGCUGUGUUUAGAUCCAAACUUACAACUUUUUCCAUCACAUCAACCUGUCAUACACAUACAACUUUUCACUCACAUCGUACCAAUUUUAACCCAAACUUUCAACUUUGGAAGGUACUACACACAGCCCAUGUUCAAAACGCACAAAUUUCUUAGGGAACCGUUUAAUUCUCACACGACCAGAGAAACAAAAAAGACGUCUUAUCUUCCCCCAAAAAAAAAAACCAGCACGUCUUAUCUUCGAUUUUUUAAAAUGUAAAAAACAGUACGUCUCGCUCGAACUGCGAGCGCCAUGGCUCAUCUCGCCACCGUCGUGCUCCUGCUCGUCGCGGCCGCGCGCCAAGCUCCCCUCGCCGCCGGCGACCACUCGGCGAACCCUCGCCUCCCCACCUGCGCAGCCGCACCGGAUGUGGCUGCGCCGCAGGAGCACGGCGACGGCGGCGGCGUCGGCGGAGGGAGGCGGAUCCUGGACAUCACGCACGCGGUGCGGGCGGAGCUCCCGGUUCUGGGUUCGUGCGACGGGGUGGGCGCGCUGGUGCGGCUGAAGAAGUCCAUGGCGAACGGCUCGCGCUCCAACCUCUCGGAGCUCCGGAUGAGCGUGCACACGGGCACCCACGUCGACGCCCCCGGCCACAUGUGGCAGCCGCACUUCGACGCCGGCCUCGACGUCGACACCCUCGACCUCGGCCUCCUCAAUGGUCCUGCAUUGCUGGUUGAUGUCCCGAGACACUCAAACGUAACUGCUGAAGUAAUGGAGUCCCUGAACAUCCCAAGAGGAGUUCGUCGAGUUCUUUUCAGAACAAUGAACACUGACAAGAGACUGAUGUGGCAAAAGGAGAGUGAUCUGAGUUUUGUUGGAUUUACAGAGGAUGGUGCGCAAUGGUUGGUUGGUUACACUGAUAUUAAGCUAGUCGGGGUGGACUAUCUAUCAGUUGCUUCGUAUGAACACAUGAUUCCUGCACAUGUAGUGUUUUUGAAAAGUAAGGAAAUUGUAAUUGUCGAAGCUCUGAAGUUAGAUGAUGUGGAACCUGGCAUGUACAUGUUACAUUGCUUACCUCUAAGGCUGGCUGGAGCUGAGGGUUCACCCGUUAGGUGCAUCCUUAUAAAAUGAUCGCGUCAUUGAGGAUUUGAGGUACUGUACCAGCUGAAGAGACCGCUGUAAUGUAGGAUUUGGCUUUCAAUGAUCAUGUACCUUCAAAACAGUGUUCUUUUUCAUUUGGAGAUAAAGCUCAUUCCAGAAACUGAAACUGUAUGAUGGAACCUGCAUCAAACCACUACGUUCCACUAGACCACAUUACUGCACCGACAUUGCUGGUGUGAAAUUUGCACACUCACUCAAUGCCCUUGCUGAAAAUUAUAAUCCGGUUGAACAGACAUGAACCCUUAAAUCUUUUUGCCUAUUUCACCCACAUCCAUUUUCUCCAGUGAGAGACAGAAAGUAGUAGUCCCAGGAUCAUCCGGAAUCUCAAUGGCCAGUUGGCACUUGCACAAACAUCUACAGAGAAAAGGAGCCCCAAACAGUUCAGAUCUUACUACAAAAUACAGGGUUGAAACUACUAACUGGUCAUUCAAUCAUCACAGCUUCACAAGGAGAUGAAGACGAUGCAGAGUUGCAUAUAGAACAAGCGGACUAUGCCAUGGUGGUUAAAAUGCCAAGGUUCUUCAGUACACACAUGACACCAAAGCACAAAUGCGUAAAGCCGGAACGCGCUUGGGGCAAAAGUUCCUGCUUUUCUGCGUGUUUGUCCAUUGCAUUUGGAUCCUCUCAAGGUAGACCCAUGACUCAGAUGCCCUAGGAAGAAAAAAUUAGCUUCAUAUUUUCCAGCAUUAUCCACAGUAUAAUUACUAGUAGCACAUUCUGGGGGCUAAUGCUGGGCUGUUUUGUUCCUAAUGGCCUUUUGCUUUCUUGCACUUGCAUUGCACCGGAGUACAGCCUUUUUUCCUCGGUUGGUAUCGAUUCUUGCUCACGUCCAGCCUUCUCUACACAAUGAUAUACAAAGAUGCUGAUCAGAUCAGAGAAACCAUGUAAGCGAAAACAAUAGGCAAGAAGGAAAAAAAAUAAAGAUUAAACUGUAGUGUUUGUUAUUUUGCUACUCAGUUUUUAAGUAUUUGGUGUAUUUUGUUUGAUUAGGAUAAUUUUUUUACGAAUAAUUACUCUAUUAGGAUAUUUUUUUUACAUAAUAUUGAAUUUAUUAGAUGCAUAUUUAAAAGUAUGAUUAUGAUUUCAUAUCACAUGAAUUAUAUCCUAAUAGAGUAAUUAUUGAUCGAAGCCUUUCCGUUUUGAACGGGUGGAGUAUGUUAAGUUUUUCAUCUGUGUUUGCGUUUAGGAAACUGUGCAUGCAUCCAAUGGUUAUAAUAUUCUUGAUGAAGAUGAGCCGAAACGCUAGGUACAGGUUUUGCUUACCAGAAUACCAGAUGCACUAUUAAUUAGCCUGGUGGUGUUAAUUGCUUUGCCAUCCCACGUGUUGCGUUCACGGGUCUGUACUGUGAUCACAUUUAUGUGUACGCACCAUAUGGCAAUUUUUAGACAGGAUGGUACCCAGAAGGACUGACAUGGCCAAGGGCUCAGUGAAGGAGCGCCAUUACUCGGUUGCUUGUACAGUUGUGCUUCUGUAGUCCUAUGCAAGCAAUUAGCUGGAGGUCACUACUUGCUACACUACACAAUACCAGUACAUCACCGACAAUGCCUUCUUCUUGCCAAACAAGGCCAAGGACCAUAUGUACAUGUGGCCUUGAGGGGAAAUGAAAUAUCCAUGAAUCUCUAAUCACAGGGGAGCAAGCAAGGAGGAUCCAAAUUACUACUACUACCAGAAUGGACCACUGAACUUGUGUAGUAUAUUUUUGCAGGAGAUAAUAGUGAAAUCCAGAAGCUGUGAACCCCUGCUAUCUGCUGCUGGCGAUGGUUCACUCUGGUUCACUGCAGGUUUGGGGGCUGAUUUCUACAGGCGUUGGUUGUGUGCGACGUCCUUCCCGGCUCCAUGAAGAUUUGGCCAUUUCAUUGCUGUAUAAUCUUUUGCCAGAUGAAACCAGCUGCAUGUAUGGCUGAGCGUGCGUGGGCGCACAGUUAGUGAUCAGUAUUCAGUAGGUGCCUCCUUGUGACCACUGACCACGCUCCUUUCUACGAAAGCCAUAUGCAAUUAACCACCAAUAAGGCCAGACGCUUCUUAUCUACAAAAAGAGAGGAAAAUUUCAAAAAGAAAUACACAAGAAGAGAGCAUGCAGCAUCUCCGGGCUGCAGGAAGCUGCCCAAAUGCAACGGGCUAAUCCAGUGGUGGAUUUUGUCGAUUCCCUUGGCUUUUGGCUUUGCAAAAAAAAUUGCAUGUGAGUAUGUAUGUGACCAAGCGAGAUGUGACAAUGUGACCGACCACGUAGUCACGCAUGCACGUAUAUGUCCAAGGAUAAAUUUUAAACAUGAACAGCUUGGGCUUUUGUGUGUACGGAUCAGAGCAUGCAGCUAAUUAAGCUAGCUCAUGUGAACAAUUUAACCGUCUUGCUUAAGGCUCCGAGGGAGAAAAGGAUGGGUCUUUGCGUAA